CUGACAGGGUUUGUUUCCUGGUCAGGGAACCACACCAUCCGUCUGUCGGUUUUCAUACUGUGGUGGAGGCAUGUUGCUGUGAUGCUGAAAGCUUGUGCCACCAGUAUUUCAAAUGCCAGUUGGGUCACUCCCUGGUGAAAUAUGUCCUGUGGCCCAUGCCCUUCCCUUGCGUCAUUGCAAACAUGGGGCUGAGAAAGGACACAGUCUCCUGUUCAUCAGCUUAGACUCCAAGAGCCUCCUGAGGAGCCGGAAGGCUGCAGGGAACCGGUUGCCCCAGUGGCUCAUUUCCAUGGAUGCACACAUGUGUGUAUCAUAUAGGAAUGGCUCAAAUCAAAGUACAUGUUUUUUAAUUUCUCCUGAAUGAAAAGAAAAAUAUACAUGGAAUGGGAAAAAGAGUACAAAGUAUUGAAAAUAUUUCCUAUGCAAACGACAAUAGGUUUACAUUACAGUUGCGAUAUUUAGCAUUAAAAAUACAGGAGGCUGAGUUACGUUUGAAUUACUGGUAAACAACAUAUAUAUUUUUGGAUGUGAAUGUUUCAUAAAAUCCUUUUUUUCUUCUGCUGGGUGCUCUGACCUUCCCAGCCUAUCACCUUGUCCCUGAGGCAUAAUGUUUCUUAAGAUUCACUCAGUAUGCCCGCUUAUCGUGAAGAACCGUUAGAAAAUGUGCCAGCAAGUAGGAGCAGGUCAAGCACGUCCUGGUUCGUUAGCUUGGGGCCUCCUCUCUCAGACGCUCCUAAUGUCUUGGGCAUCAGUGGGAAAAAAUUUGAGAUCAGAACUAGGUAAGCCGAGCGAAGCAUCCAGGUAGAGAAACUCACAGGCAGGGAUGGAGGGGAGAGACCAAAACAUGUAUGGGAGCAGGUCUUAUAAUGAGAAACGACAGAGUGGAACAAUGGCAACCUAGGAUUCUUGGCCUUAAGAGUGCUUUUAAUUACAUUCUUCUGCUUCUGCGAAUGAAACUUGUUGAAAGUUAGCUCUCAGGCAAGGGCCACAAAUGGGCAGCUGCAAGCUGAGUGUAUUCUGCGGACCUGUUUUAGGUGGCCAGCAUGCUUUGUGGUAAAACAUCUCAGUUAGUUGCCAACAUUUAAAGAAUGGAAGGUUUCAUACCAGCAUUUUGAUUUGGGGCCAGUCUUGAAAAGCUGGAAAAUCUGGCCAUCCUGACCCAACAUUCUUGCCCAGCAACGCUGAGCUGAGCUGAAUACCAGCCGUCCCCUUUGGGAAAGACACGUGCCAGUCCCCACCCUCCUUGCUGUUCUCACGCCUGGCCUUCUCAACAUUUGAGUUUGUAACGCCAAUCAUUUAAAAACAUGAUUUUUUUAUUAUGAGAAAUGUCAAACAUAUACAGAGAGAAUCGUAGCAUGAGUCCCGCGUCCUCAUUACUCAGUUUCAACAGUUAUUAACAGCCGUCGCAUUUCAUCAAUGCCCUAACCAAUGCUCCAACACCCCUGCAUCUGCCCCUGGAUUAUUUCGAUGCAAAUCUAGGCCUCGCAUCGUUUCAUCUGUAAAUAUCUCAGCGUGUAUCUCUAAAGGAACCAGAAUGUGUGACUCCUAACCAGGCCUCUUCCCACUAUGUCACAUAUGCCACAGGUUGUACCGCGGUGAUAGGCUAUAUCAUGGAGUAAUAGUACUGAACAUUUCUCAGGGCUUCCUCUGUCGCUGGGCGUUGUGCUGGGUACUUAUGUGCAUUAUGUCAUUUGUUCCCCUCAUCAGUUCUAUGACAUAGAUAGUGUUAUUAUUUCCAUCGUAUAGUCUCCACACAGAAGUCCUCCCUAAUACAUAUAUAUAUAUGCAUGUGUAUGUAUACACAUGCAAAUGUGCACAUAUUUAUUUAUAUCAUAUCGAAUAUAUUUCUAGGGGCCAGCCUGGUGGCGCAGCAGUUAAGUGCGCACGUUCCGCUUCUCAGCGGCCCGUGGUUCGCCGGCUUGGAUCCUGGGUGCAGACAUGGCACCGCUUGGCAAAAGCCAUGCUGUGGUGGGCGUCCCACAUAUAAAGUAGAGGAAGAUGGGCAUGGAUGUUAGCUCAGGACCAGUCUUCCUCAGCAAAAAGAGUAGGAUUGGCAGUAGUUAGUUCAGGGCUAAUCUUCCUCAAAAAAAAAAAAGAAUAUAUUUUUAUAUUACUUAGAUAUAUUAUUCAUAUAUAUCUAAUUGUAUACAAAGCCUAGAAGAAGUAGUUCAACUCUGUUUUCUUUCUUUAGGAAAUCGUGUUUCUUCUGGUAAUGAGAAAGUCCCAUAAGCUGGGGUUUACAUAUCCCAUUUCCCACCCACAAAGAUUCAAAGUUCAAAACUUAUUUUCCAAACAUGGAAAAGGCAACAAAAACACUCAACUUGAGAAUGUCCGCAACAUAGAUGUCCAAGUCUUGAAGCAAAUUUUAGAAUGGCUGCCUUGCCAAAUACGUUUUUUCAGCUAUACUGACCUGCAUGCUGGCCUCAGUCACGUGCAUGAAUCUUGCAAGCUCCUUUCUGAGGGGAGAAAACCACAAAUACUCCGUGUUUGGAGUUGCAGAUGAAAUUCAAUACACCAUACUCAGAUCACACUUGCUUUUAAAUACCUAUCACACAACCCCUCUUCCCGGGACAUUAUUCUGUAAUAUCCAGACUGAGGCCUCGCUUUAGGGGUGGUUUUCCCUCCAGACUAAAUCUAAGGGGCACCAGAAACUCGGGAUUCCAGAUACAUAAUACAUUUUGCGAGAUUUUAAAAAAUCAAAAUUGAUGAUAAUUAUGAUAUUAUGAACAAAUUAUCAAAAUUUUAGAUAAAGACGGGAUCUGACACUUCACUCGCACUACGCACCAUGCCUUACUCUCUUCACCUUGAUCACGACACUGGGUCCAAUCAAACACUGUUUACAAAACCCUAGCAACAGGCCAAAGUUUGCCCACUUUUAAUGCUGCACGAAAAUACUUACCUUGGUGCCCAGGAGGCAUUGCCUCUACCCUGGGGCCUGAGGACAGGUGGGCCCCACGGCCUUGGGAUCCCUAGUUGUCCUUUGGCUCAGGAAGGGAGGGAAGAGGCUCUGGGAAAGAAAAUGAGGCCUGGGUCUAGCCAGGGGUCCCUUGGAAAGGGAGAACCGCCUGAGCACGAAGCUUACCAUGCUAACAUGCCUGAGUAGGGAAUUUGUUGUAAGAUGCUCUCCUGCUCCUGGACCUGCAACAGGGUGAAAGCGGUGCAGUAGAAUGGCCGCUGCCUGUCCUCAGGAUGCCUGGGCUCCCGCCUGCCACCCCGAGGUUCUCUUUGUCUGUCCAUGGGGCCAGGAGCUCCCCUACCAACAUGGCCUUUUACUGGUGCCGCUGGUGCUGCUGCUCCUUCCUUAGGUUCGGGUGGUACUUCCUCACUCUCACCAUGUGAUGCAAUCACUGAGGUCGUGGGAGGAUUUGCAUCUGGAAAGGAGAAAAGGCAAGUAGAGAGAUCAGGGCAUUGGAUGCCAGGGUUCAAGGGCAGGAGGAGGCCAGGGCCUGGAACUGAAAGCAGCAGAGAGAGAAGCUCAGCAUCAGUCUGCUCCACUGUCCCAGGGAAAGGUCAUUUCCUGGAGUUCACUGAAGUACCUGUCACCAUCCAGCCACUGACAAUGCGGUUUUCCUGGUUUUCGCUGACUCCCAGGUAACCAGUUUCAUCGCGCGGCACCCGGGUAGAGGCUCCUUGUCCUCAGUGCUGUCGCUGUAGCUGUGCGUCUCUGCAGACUCUGCCCUGCAGUGUGCUGCGAUCCCUCGUUGGGUCCAGAGGUGUAACCAGCAGCCGAGUUGAAUUGUCUCGGAGUGUCUGAUCUUGGUGACAGUGUGUCAGCAUCAGGUUCAAAGCAUAUGUACUUGUUUUGUUUUGGGGUCAAAAUUAUGCUCAGAGACUGAGUUUGUCUUUGCCGGCAGUUUAUUUAACACAGGUUCACUGCAGGAAUUUCACAAGCCAAGAGCAUACGGGAUAAUAUGUCUUAAUAAGCUAAUAAAUAAAUAACAUAUUCUAAAACGAUGAUAGAUUAAUUACACUAUUGUUCCAGGCAAGGGGACAUAAAAGAGAUAAAGUCCAGAUUUAGUCUGAGGUGUACCUUUCCUAUGAGUUUCUUCUGAGGAGAGGCGGAUUGGCCAAUGGAGAGCUGACGUCCAGCUGCCAGUGCAAAAUAAAAGCCCCCUGUUGCUAGAGCACAUUGCUAGGGAAUGAGGGAGUUGGCGUUGGUGGGCAUGAUGAUCUUUGAGGGGCCACCGCUCAGUUUUCACCAUCGCCCCUAAAAGAGUCACGAUUACUACAGCAGAAGCUAAUGUCCCAAGGAUCUUUGCAGAGCUUAUUUAGGUCAGCAAAGAGUCACCUUGCCCAGACCGACACGCUCGGCUAUUCCUCACAAACUCUGGGCAUUUAUAACCCCCUUGCCAUCCUUGCUUCUCCACAUGUUCUUACGGAUAAGCCCCCAGCAGGGUUCAUCAUCAGCUGAGCCACUGAGUUCUUAUCAAUGACAACAGAUGAGACAAUGACAUCCUGACACAACUUCAUUCUUAUACCAAAACAACAAGUUCUUGUCUUUGUCAUAAGCAGGUGCAUUAAAACAACUUCACUUAAAUCCCAAACAAGUGGAUUUGAAAUCAUAUCAAACCCAUACACAGCAGUACUACAUAUUAGAUGCCAGCCAUUGGCUUUCUCACCACCAGUUGCAGUAAGUGGGACAUGCUGGUGUGUGCCUGCACUAGUGCGUGGCCAUAAAACACAAAAUAUUGUUUAUUAUUAUGUAAAAUAUGUAUAAAUGUAAAUUUUACACAGUAUUUGAAUGAAUGGUGAAAAAUAUAUUUGAUUUUAGAAUCAUGUGCACUAAUAAUGCUUAAAAAAUGCCUUUAAUAAAGCAUGUCAGCUUCAAAUAUUUAUAAAAUAUUUUUUAUAUUCUACAUAUUUAAAAAUAUUGGGGCUGGCCCCGUGGCCAAGUGGAGAAGUUCGUGUGCUCCACUUUGGCGGCCCAGGGUUUCAUUGGCUCGGAUCCUGGGCGUGGACAUGGCACCGUUCAUCAGGCCAUGCUGAGGCGGCAUCCCACAUGCCACAACUAGAAGGACCCACAACUAAAAUAUGCAACUAUGUACUGGGGGGAUUUGGGGAGAAAAAGCCGAAAAUGAU
ensembl:lncRNA